ACUAAUCGAUCGAGGACUUAACCAU
rnacentral:rRNA from 1 species